rnacentral:rRNA from 1 species
CCUACGGGAGGCAGCAGUAGGGAAUAUUGCUCAAUGGGGGAAACCCUGAAGCAGCAACGCCGCGUGGAGGAUGAAGGUUUUCGGAUUGUAAACCUCUUUUGUUAGAGAAGAAAAUGACGGUACCUAACGAAUAAGCACCGGCUAACUACGUGCCAGCAGCCGCGGUAAUACGGAGGGUGCAAGCGUUACGCGGAAUCACUGGGCGUAAAGAGCGCGUAGGCGGGUUAGCAAGUCAGUUGUGAAAUCCUAUGGCUUAACCGUAAAACUGCAUUUGAAACUGUUAUUCUAGAGUAUAGGAGAGGUAGGUGGAAUUCGUGGUGUAGGGGUAAAAUGCGUAGAGAUCAAGAAGAAUUCUCAUUGCGAAGGCGACCUGCUAGAACAUAACUGACGCUGAUGCGCGAAAGUGUGGGGAGCAAACAGGAUUAGAUACCCCAGUAGUC